rnacentral:rRNA from 1 species
UACGUAGGGGGCAAGCGUUGUUCGGAAUCACUGGGCGUAAAGGGUGCGUAGGCGGGUCUUUAAGUCAGGGGUGAAAUCCUGGAGCUCAACUCCAGAACUGCCUUUGAUACUGAAGAUCUUGAGUUCGGGAGAGGUGAGUGGAACUGCGAGUGUAGCGGUGAAAUGCGCAGAUAUCAGGAGGAACACCGAUGGCGAAGGCAGCUCUCUGGGCCUGUUCUGACGCUGAGGAGCGAAAGCUGGGGGAGCGAACAGG